UACAGAGGUCCCAAGCGUUGUUCGGAUUCACUGGGCGUAAAGGGUGCGUAGGUGGCCGGGUAAGUCUGACGUGAAAUCUCCAAGCUUAACUUGGAAACUGCGUCGGAUACUAUCCGGCUAGAGGAUCGGAGGGGAGACUGGAAUACUUGGUGUAGCAGUGAAAUGCGUAGAUAUCAAGUGGAACACCAGUGGCGAAGGCGAGUCUCUGGACGAUUCCUGACACUGAGGCACGAAAGCCAGGGGAGCAAACGGG
rnacentral:rRNA from 1 species